CACCGGUAAAUACGUGGCAGCAGCCCCGGGAAUACCGAGGGGGGAAGGGGUGUCCGGAUUUCUCUGCUUAGAAAAAGGAGGGGAGGGGGGUUCUGAAAGACUGAUGUGAAAGCCCCCCGGGUCAACCGGGGGAAUGGCAUUGGAAACUGGGAGACUUGAGUGCAGAAGAGGAGAGUGGAAUUCCAUGUGUAGCGGUGAAAUGCGUAGAGAUAUGGAGGAACACCGAUGGCGAAGGCGGCUCUCUGGGCUGAGACUGACGCUGAUGCUCGAAAGCGUGGGGAGCAAACAGGAUUAGAUACCUUGUUUUUUUUACGCCCUAAACGAUGAGUGCUAAUUGUUGGAGGGUUUCC
rnacentral:rRNA from 1 species